rnacentral:lncRNA from 1 species
ACGUUCCAUAAAGAAAAACGUUGCUAAGCGCAAACGUAAACACGACCUUGGAGACGUUCUUGUGAGACCGAGAUAUUUGAUCGCAUCGUCCAAAAUCUUUUUUUGUUGCGGAAUUUGCCUAUACAAAGAAUAUGAUAACAUACCAAUGAUACUAUUGAUUAUAACUGUAUGUAUAUUCACUCUUAAAUACGGUAAAUCCUUUGUAACGUUCUAUCUCACUCAAGAUAACUUUAUAGCUUUGAAUGCUUUCAAGUAAUGGAUACCGGUCGUAUUUUAACCAAAAGAACUGAAACGUUGUAAAAUCAUGAUAUAACCUUUUGAUUUUGUC